AGACACCAGCAUCACAUACACCGGCGCUACCGGCGCAUCUUAGAUUGCGCCACCGGAUAGAUGUCCAAUUAGAACCCUAAACCACAAAUCAGUUUUGCCGCCGAUGUUAUCUGCUUCAUCCAUCCAUUAAGAAGGAAAAAAAGGAUAAUUGGAGAACUUGAUAAUGUCAGGUUUUUCUUGGAAUUCUUGCCGUUGCAUGCAUUCAUUUAAGAAAAACAAAUCAAAGAACUUGUUGUGUUUUUAAAAUUACUUUCGCAUUCUUAGAUGCGUAUGUUAAAAAAACAAAGAAAUUAUAGUUAUCAAGAAUGUAUUAGCAUUGCAAUAUCAACAAAUCUUUUCUUUUUUUCAAUAAAUUAGGUUGUCAUUCUCUCAUUGUGUGUGCUUGGAUGCAUAUUUUAAGAAAGUAAAAGAGAUUGUAGGUUUCUUGAUAAGUUCAAGAACUUGUAUGAUUUUCACGAGGGCUGUUGCUCUAUGCAGGUAAGUUGGGAGUUGUUCUUGAAGUCUCCACUCCCACAACUUAAAAAAAUUUAGUAGUUUGAUUAUAAGCGUUCUUACUUGCCACUCUCCUUUACAUGGUCUAGACUUUUUGAGUUUGAUUGUUUCUCGCCUAGUGUCCCUACUUAAUCUUGUAUACUCUUGGGAUGCCUAUCGGAGUCAUCUGUUAAUAGGGGUGUAAGCUGCCUGGAGUAUUUGGUGCUAGAUGUGUGGAGGGUAAAAUACUUUCUGCCAAAUAUGCCCGUGAAAACAUGAUUCCUUACCUGGGCAUAUGUCUGGGCAUGCAAAUAGCUGUUAUCAAGUAUGAUAGAUCCAUUCUUGGGUUGCAAGAUGGGAACAGUACAGAGUUUGAUCCAAAACCAACAGUCCUUGGGUAAUUUUUAUACUGGAAGUUAUGUUCGGAUGCUUCUCCUUCAUCAUGAAUUUCCCUCAUGAUCUUCAUGUGUUUGAAAGGUCUCAUUUUAGUAGUGGCUAUAUAAAUCUGUAGAUCAUGUUCACAGGGUUCAAAAGCGCAUAGGAGACAUACCCCGCGUCUUGGAUCAAGAAGAACGUAUUUUUCAAGUCAAAGAUUCUAAAUCUGCAAAACUGUGAAUCCUGAUAUGAUGUAACAAUUUGAAGAUGCUGGCCUUACUUUCAGUGGCAAAGAUGAAAGUGGUUGUUGCAUGGGGGUGAACGUUCUAUAUAAUUGAAUUAUGAAGUCAUGAUCGAUACUCGUAGUGUUGUUAUUGGUUUUAUUAUAAUUGAACUAUGAAGCCAUCGAUCAUGCUAGAUGCAUUCUUGGGUUUCAAUAUGCGAACAGUACCGUGUUUGAUCCCAACACUGACAAUCCUUGGGUGAUUUUUGUACCGGAAGGUUCAGAAGCGCAUAUGAGAGGUACCAUGCAUCUUGGAUCAAGAAGAGCUUAUUUUCAAGUCAAAAGAUUCUAAAUCUGCAAACUGUAAAUACUUCCUUUCCUCCAAGCUCACUGCAUUGGCUAUAUCUUGAUCUGAGGAUCUGAAGCCAUUCUGGAGGACUUCUGCUAUCGAUAUUACUGAGUGGAUAAACUAUAUCUUUCUCAGAUUUGGUAAUCGGAGCUUUGUAGGAUGAGAGGCACCGUCAUAAAUUAUGUGCCACUCAUGCCAGAAACUAGACCUGCUAUCAAAUUUCUUGGGAGGGUCUAGUGUGGUAAUGAAACUUGUUAACAUCUGAAAUAGCAAAUUACAAGCUCAAGGGGAGUGCACAAGUACACGCAAUGGGAGUCAAAAGAAGUGACGAAUGAGGAUGACCUGCUUUGCCGACGUGCUUCUCCUUCUCCUUGCCACUGCUGUCCAGUGCGUUUGGGAUUCAUCUGAGUUGUCUUAAUAAAUUGAAUGCAAUCAUUGGUGCAUUCAAGCUUUCAGGAUACAUCUCAGGUCCUGAUCGUUACACAGUGAAGGGUUGGUGCGUCAUCCUUCUCUUUAUUGAGGAUACUUUCGCUAAUCUCUGGACUGAAAGUAACUCUGUCGGGGUGGAAGCUGUUUUAGUUCCUGGAGGAUUUUGGUGAUGGAUAUGUAGAGGGUAAAAUACUUGCUGUCAAAUAUGCCUGUGUAAACAGGAUUCCUUACCUGGCAUCUGUCUAUGCAUGCAAAUUGCUGUUAUCGAGUAUGAUAGAUCCAUUCUUGGGUUGCAAGAUGCGAGCUGUACAGAGUUUGAUCCCAACACCGACAAUCCUUGGGUAAUUUUUAUACCGGAAGAUAAGUUCAGAUACUUCUCCUUCAACAUGAAUUUCCCUCAUGAUCCUCAUGAGGUCUCAUUUUAGUAGUGGCUCUAUUAAUCUGUAGACCAUGUUCACAGGGUUCAAAAGCACAUAUGAGAGGUACCAUGUGUCUUCUAUCAAGAAGAACAUAUUAAGUCGAAGCUUCUAAAUCUGCAAAACUAUAUUUGAAGAUGCUGGCCUUUCUUUCACCGGCAAAGAUGAAAGUGGUCGCCUCAUGGAGGUAUAUAUUUCUAUAGGCUUUGGGACUUGCUAUGUUAAGGUGGAUGACAAUGUUGUACUUCCUUUGAAGGAUCUGGUGUUUCACGAGAUGGAAUGAUGCUGAUGGGAAAAAGAUAUGAUCUUUUUGCAAAAUGUUGAACUGACUUUUUCUUUUGUAUUGUAUUGAUAGUGCUGUACAUAAUUUUUUUAGCCUGAUAACUAUGAUGUUUGUAACUUUGAAUGAUUCUUCUAGUCUAUAGGAUUGCAUACAUUAUUCAACUGAUAGGCUGUUUGAUGGUUUGUGCUCAUUAGUAUUUUUUCACAGAUGUUUUAUUUAUCGUUUUGUGGUUUUAUUUGUAAUUGGGCAAACUUGUAUGGCCGUGCACCACAAAAUAUUGAUGCUUACACUUUAGAUUUGCUUUUAUUGUAAGAUGUUCAUGUACAUCGCUUGUAUAGUUCUUCAUUUGCAAUAAAAUACUCUCUAUACCUGUUCUUAGUCCCCAAAAGAGAAGGGGCAGGGGAUGAAAUAUAACUUUUGUUGAUCACUUCUGUAUGUAGAGAUGUUUUUAUUGUUUAUUCUAGCUGAAGUUGAGGUAGAACAUACAGGUUCGUGCUUAGGUACUUUUAGCCCAGCUUAUGAAGAAAACAUUUGUGACUGUUUCUUUCAACUUCUAUUAUACUUCCUUAUUGUCUGGCCAUUUUAAUUAACUAUUGUUUUGUAUGCUUCCUUUACUCCAGCAACAUCAAAAUACUGCUAUUCAGAUGUUAUGCAUGCUUUCCCAUGUCAUAAUAAAUCAUGCUGCAGAUGAGCGAAUCAGUUUGGAAGAACUUCAUGAGAAGGUCUUAUCUGGACAAAAGAGGACAACCACCUAUCUUGAUUUCGAGCAUGAAGCAGUACAUUUAUGGUCAUCUAAUUUGAAAUAGAUUUGCCUUGUGCCACUUGUCUUGUGGGGAAGACUUGAAACUCUUUGUCAUAGGUAAUAUUGAUUUUGAGUCUUUUACCAUGCUUUUGUAGAUCAUGCCUGAAACUGGUUACCAAUUAUUACACAACUAUACUGACCAAAUUCAAAAUUGGAGUUUGAUCUGCAAAGUUCAUUCUCAAGCUUCAAUAUCAUCUACCAGGUAAGUUACGGUUCUUUGUUUAGAUUUUCAUCACCAACCAGUCUAUGGAACUUGAUAAAAUUGCCAUUUACCUGAAAUUCCGUUCCACUAAAUUUUGCAACAUUCAUUGAAGUUGAACACUAACUCUAGAAUAAAGUCAUAUGUUUAGGUUAAAACGGGAACUUAAAUCUGAUUCACAAGCAACCAACAUCUGGCUCAUUUCUUGUGGUAACAUUCUCUAAUACUUGCCUCUAUCGUAUUAUACAUUCAAGAAGUUAAAGUACAUGUAAACCAUUUGCAAAUCAGUCUUAUAAGGGAAAGGUAAUAUAGUGUUGAUUGAAGUUGUUAAUACAGGAUUAUGAAGUGACAUGAACUAUUAGGACAUAAGAAUUGAGAUUAGGCAUUAUUGGGAAUAAAGAUACACUGUAUAGUAAAUGCACAAAGGAUGGGAGAAAUUGUUUGCAUAAUCAGUAAAGGUUGAAUGUAAUAUGGAUGAUUUGUACACGGAUGGAGAAAUCCUCAGCAUUCUCUAACAUUGAAAGGAAGGAGCAGAAACCUCACUGGCUCAUGGAUCAGGUGCUGGAAUAUUUUUUGAUUUAUUGCCCAUCUGUGUAGCUAUUUUAAUGGCUUAGUGUAGAGAUUCUAUACAUUGGUGCUUUUAUGGAGUUAACAUUGCAAUGCGAUUUUUUUUUAUAAAUGCAGUACUGUUAAUUGCAAAAGAUAUAGACUCACUUAAUCCUGAAUACAGACUGGUAUAUGUAUCAACUAUCAAUUAUACUACUCACAUAUCUACUCUGUCCCUCCAGCGUAUCUUCUCUUUAUAGGAGCAAGUUUUUGGUUGUUAUUUCGUGAGCAGGUUGCUUGGAUUAGUUUCUAUGUGGAGUAGUUGCUUGAAAAUCCAAAAUGAAAUGAACAGGCACCUCUCUUUAUCUGGUAACAUUAGGUAUUCCCCUCCCAGUAGUAAAAAUUUAUAGCUUCACAACCUGUCAACCCGACUAGUGGAAUUCCACCGACUAUGCAAGCGCUCUUAAGAAGGGAAGUUUGCAGACCGUUGCUCUCUUGGCUACGCUGCCACCUGAUGGAUCACUAAUUGAAGUGACCAAGGGAGUUGAAGCCUCUCAUAAGUUGCCUUGAGGGAACUUGAACGUGGUCCUGGAACGAGAUAUUGCGACAUAAAUGAGCCUCUCUUUAGAACCAAGCGCUUCUAUGAAGUCCCUUCUUCCCUUGUUUCUUGCCGUUCCAUGGUAUGACACAUCGGGCAAAAUAAGACCUGAAACAUGGGCAGGUUUUUUCUGUUGUUGAUCACUAUAUUUGGUGAAUGAAAUUGGUACAUUUUCCAGCAUGGAGGGACCGUUUUCAUUGUUCAAGCUUGAGCUCUUACCCAACAAUUUGUUGAAUCAUAUUUUUAAGUGAUUUCUCGCUUCAUAACGCUACCGGAGUACGCAACCGGAUGAAAACCCCUAAACCCGCCAUCGAAGCUGUAAGGAAACUGCAUCAUUCCGCAGAAGUUAUCUGGUCGGAGCUUCCAUGGCUGUCAUCCCAUCAAUGUGAUCAAUCUUCUAUCCCAAAUUGUGGUGACAGUGUAUUCUCUGAUGUAAGGCCAAGUGUGAAAAUGAAACUUGUCAACAUCUGAAAUAGCAAAUUACAAGCUUAAGGGGAGUGCCCAAGUACAGGCGAUGGGGAGUCAAAAGAUGGUAAACCAUUCAUGCUGAUGGCUCAUAGGCAAACUGAUGCUUGCAGCCAUGCUGGAUUCCAAAGCUUUUGAGAUUCGUAUUUUGGCAUCGCAAAGUUCAAGUUUUUUUGUCACUAAAUCACCUUUUUGGUGAAACUACGCAGCCUUCUACUUUUUUGUUCUUAUUACUCUAUCUGGUAUAACUCAAAAAACUAUUUAACAUGUUAUCUCUUGAGCUGAAAAACUGUUGCUUAGCAUGGCACCUCGGGUGGGGUAUAUGAGAUUUAAGAAUAAGUUCCAUUUCAUGAUGCAUCUUCUCUGUCUUAUAAGGCUGAUACUUGCAGCCAUGACAGAUUUGAAAGCUUUUGAGCUGAUUCCAUGUUUUGGUUUGGCAAAAUUCACUUCCCCCCCCCCCUCCCCCCCACCAAACCAACCUUUUCAUGAAAUUACGCAUGACCUUCCUCUUUACUUAUUCUUAUGACUGUCUCUGCUCCAUUAUAUAAACCAUGUGAAUGUGGAAGUUUUGUCUUCCGUGGAAGUUCAAUAAAACUUUGUAUGAUUUCUCAAGGGUUGUUGAGGAGUUGGUUUUAGCAGCCUCGAUGCAGCUACCACUUAGGUUUACUAAUUCACCCUUCCAAAGUUUCUUUCAUCUUCUGUUGUGCUUCCUUUUCGCCUGGCCAUUUUAACUGUGGUUUGGUAUGGUUGCUUUACACCUGCGACAUCAAAAUACUGUCAUUCAGAUGAUAUGCAUGCUUUCACAGUAAGCUUUGGCCUUAAGGAGAGGUUCUGAGCUCUACUUCUGACGUUUCUUUGUCGGAAAUUGUUACCAAAACUCACUCGAGGCCAAAUGGAUAUUGUAAGGUUUUGAAGGCCAAGUGUUUGUACCUUGGAAUUAAUUAUUGUAGACAAGAUGUUGGUACAACAGGUAAUUUGGUAUAAGCCUAUCUGAUACAGAAUUGACUGAUGUUUGCCAAUAAGGAACUUCGGUGGGAUUUUUCUCUUGGCAGUCAUUGUACGUGAUGUAUUUUACAACCAACCAGUUUGAAGGAAGCAAAUGCACUCCAAGUGUUUGUAGUUUUCUCACAAUUCAAACAAACAAAAAAUAUUGAUUUACUUGCUUCACUUCUAUAAAACUAUACUUCGUCUUGAUUGAUCUUUUGGUUUGCAUAUAUAAUCUGGAAGCCCAAAGAGAGCCUUGCAUUCUCUACUAAGAAUCGCCCUUGUGCAUCCCCAGUGUCUCCUUCAAAAUUGUUCAUAUUGAAAGGUCUGUCUCUGCUAUACCAGCUAACUGGUUUCUCAGAUUUCAUUUGCAUGCCGUGAGGACGACUGCUUUGCACACGUGCUUCUCCUUCCCCAUUGCUGCUAUUGUCCAGUGGAUUUGGGAAUCAUCUGAGUUCCCUUAAUAAAUUGAAUGCAAGUGAUGGUUCAUUCAAGCUCUAAGGAUAAUUACACAGUGGAGGUAUGCCGGCCCAAAUUGAUGGAUAAGAGAUGUGAUAAGUUAUCUUUUCUACACUUUGUUUCCCGAAGUACCACUGUUUAAUUUGCAGGUCCUUCAAUAUUUCUAUAUCUACUCAAGAUUUGUUUCCAAAGGACCAAUACAUAAAUUACUUAAUAACAUAGCAAUGAGUUCUGACAUUGAGCAACAAAGUAGAUCUCCGAUAUAUCCACUGUUUUGGUUUAACUUAAAUUGCUCAAGAUCUUUAUAUGAUUUGACUUUGGAGCCUUCAAAGACCUCUGUGGAAUAUAAGGUUGUGAGAUUUUGUGUUGGCAUUUAUAAUUUAGUUGUUUGUAGGUUCGGGAAAUGAGUCUGCGACUUUGGAUUUAUUUUUGUAGAAAUGAGUUUGUUCUUUCUCAUUGUUGAAUUGAGUUUGUUCUUUUCAACCACCAUCAAGAAUAUUCUUAGUUAUAAUCCUCAGAUAACCAAUCCAGAUAUUACUAAAUUCCAAAGCAGAGUUAAUGUUCCCUUCACAUAUAGCUGUGUUGAUAAGAAAUUCAUUGGCCAUCAGUUUGGUGUGCAGGUCAAGACUAGUACUAAUUUUUGGAACCUUACAGCAGUUGAAAAGUUGCCGGAGUCUUAACAGUUAUGAUCCUCACAAUGUUCCUGCAAAUGCUUUAGUAAAUUUAUCGUGAAGUGCUCUUGUGGGGAGAUAGUCAUGUUUCAAAAGUUUGUGCACAAUUUAUAACUUAUCCUUUUCGGCCUGACCAGAAUUUGGUUAUAGUAGCCAACGAAUUCAAUCGACCACAGAAGUUGUUGGAAGACUAAAAUCCUUGAAGCAAAGUGGUCUGGUUUUCAACAUCCUGAAGCAGUGCUUCAUAUGUGUAUGAUAUAUUGGAUAAGAUUUAAAUAGGAACGUAACAAACAUCAAUAUAAUCACAAUACACGUGUGUUUCAGUUCUGAAUGAUAAAGUAGUCUGAACUAUGAAGUUCAAAAUGGGAAUGAAGGUUAAAGAA